rnacentral:rRNA from 1 species
UACGAAUGGAGCAAGCGUUGUUCGGAAUCACUGGGCUUAAAGCGUAUGUAGGCGGUCUCGCAAGUCAGAAGUGAAAGCCUGGGGCUCAACCCCAGAAUUGCUUUUGAAACUGCAAGACUAGAAUCCUGGAGAGGUUGGGAGAAUUCCGAGUGUAGAGGUGAAAUUCGCAGAUAUUCGGAGGAAUACCAGUGGCGCAGGCGCCCAACUGGACAGGUAUUGACGCUCAGAUACGAAAGCGUGGGUAGCAAACAGG